rnacentral:tRNA from 1 species
ACCGCCUUAGCUCAGUUGGUAGAGCGACCGUACACAUCGGAGAUCGAGGGUUCAAACCCCGCAAGCAGUC